ACUAAAUAUACAUAGAUAAACUCAUAAGACAAGGAAAGAAAAGACAACCCCCCCAAAAGGUGGCUGAUCUACUUUCAGUGUAUGCUAAAAAAGGUCAAUCUCAUAAUGAAUGAAGAAGGACCAUUCUACAUAGAUGUAUUAAAAUCUCAAUAUAUCUCACUCCUUUCUCUUUCCAAAUAAGAAGAGUUGCAUAUCACAUUAAGAGAUUACCUCCACAUGCUCAAGGGGCAGUGGGAUCCCAAUUGAUAUCAUCUUUGUUUGGCGAAGGAGAUUCUUACAACGAGACCAUCGGAAGGCAUCUAUAACAACAUUUUCUCCAUCCAUCAGGCCUUUUUCACCAUUUGAAGUAUGUGAGCUAUGAGUUACAGAUUUGUCAGCUUCUGCUUCUUGGGCCUGAGACACUGAUGUAGCCUUUACCAUCUUCUCUCCAGCAAAGCAAAGCUCAAACCUAUACUUGCACGAGUUAAGAGUAAAUGAAUAGCAACUUGCCAGGAAGGCAAUAGCAAUUAUCAGGUUGCAUCUUGAAAGAAGAAGAUAUUCCCAUGCAUCAAGAUAAAUAAAAGUGCUAACAGUUUGCUUUUAUGUAAAAUAAAAAGAAAAGAAAAAGAUUUAAACAUUCAUUUCCUCUUGCAACAGCCUCUAACUAACAAACAAAUAAGUCAGAAAAUUUUGAUCCAGGCUAAUCAGAAAAUGCUAAAGCAAAACUCAUCAUAACAAAAAAUUAUGUGUAUAGCUCAAUUAUCGCUGUCCUGGAGAGAGAGAGGAGGCCCCAGUAGUCUCUUUACUUUCCUGUUUGACAAAACGGAUAUUGUAAAAUAAUUUCACCGAGGAUGCUCAAAAUAAAACUGAGCAUAAUAUGAUACAUGAAUCUUUUAAAAAAAAAUACCAAUAAUACUCAAAUAGUUUGAUUAGCACAUCCUUUCUCCUGUCUAGAUAUUCUAUUCAAACAUGAAGAAUUGAUUGUUUCUCGAAAGGUAAAUACAUUGACUUAAACCAGAAGCAUGAAGAAAACAUUUGCUUACUAUUACCAACCACCAUUACCUGCGGCUAUGGGUUUCCAAGUAGAGUACUUCCCCCUUUUUCAAGCGCGAAGCUGUAAACAGGGGUUUCUUAAGCCCCUUGUCUGCAACCACACUGAUGCUGUAUUUAAGCCUAGACAGACAAAAGGAAAUAGACUAAUCAAAAGAGCAAAGAAUAGGUGAAUAUACAAGAGCUUAUCUGAUUUAUCACUAUGAAGUUUCACAAUAAAUUGGUCAUUUUCUAAUCAGUUCAGGUAAACAGAUUUAUACAAGCAUGUCUCUUUAAUAGUCUAUAUGAACUCUCUUGGAUUCUCAGUCACUAUAAAUUCAUUGCUGCAGCACAGAAAAGAUGAACAUGCAAAAUUAUCACUAUAAUGCACAUAUGAGAAAAGGUUCUACCGGCUAAGUAGAAGAUGGGCUCCACUAAUUUCUGUCUGUACUACUUGUAAGCCAAAAAAUUCUUGAUUUGAAAGACGACCAAUUUUGCCAACUAAAAGCACAAUUCAAGAACUUAAGAAUCAUUGCUAGUUUUAUGUAUUACAUAUGAUGUUUCACCCCCAAAUGCAUGUCUUUAUCUAUUAAGCCAGAAACAAAGAAAGUGAACAGAAUUUACAACAAUACUAGAAAAUUGUCUAAUUCCAUCCUUUUUUGUAGCUUUAAAAACACGAGAAAAUCUUACUACGAAAUUCAGCCAAUGGUCCCAUCCCCCUGGCAUCCAUAAUCUUCCUACUCUAUUUACCAACGAAAAAACUUCUAAUACUUACCAAUAAUCAGUUCCCAAAAACAAAAAUAAAAUCCUUCAAAAGAAGCAAACUAGAACAGUCCAAGUCAUAUUACUUACCAAGGCUCACCACAUAGGUUGAAUUGCACAGUCACUUCUCGUACAAAUCUUUGUUGUCGUAGUGCAUUCUAGAGAGAGAGAGAGAGAGAGAGAGAGAGAGAGAGAGAGAGAAAGGGGUGGAGGGGAGAAGGGGAGAGGUAAAGAAAUAAAAAAAGUUAGUUAAAAAUAAUACAAAAAAAGGUAUACAAUAGCAGCGUCCUUAGUAAACCAAACAUAAUAUGCAUAUUUGACAUUUGCAAUCUGUUAGAUACUACUCAGCAAGCUUACAACGCUCCUUGAGCACAUCUCUCGUGUCUUUUGAAAUUUAGAAGGGCUAAUCCAUCUAUUCAGAACACUUAGAAAACCCGUAUCUUACAAGAACUUAAGACAUCUAAUGCUCUUAAAGAAUACUCCUUCCUCUGGAAAAAAAGAAUGAAUAGAUAAGAACGAAAGCAAAACCAAUGGAAUGAAAAUGAAAAAGAAGAUAAAGAAAGAUGAGAUAAGAAGAAAAAUUUUCCUGCCUAAUCAAUUAGUAUUUGAUAGCUAUUAGCCGCUAUAACACAGCUCCAGUAAUCAGAAGUGGACUAUUUAUGUUUGCCACUGCAAAUGCGCAAGUCGCGCAAGUCCGCCCCAAGACACUAAAAAGCUUGCAGUUACAGCUCCCACCAUCCCCUCCCUCCCCAUCACAAAAAUGAAAAUUGAACAUUCUCGUAAGAUGAUGAAAUCACAUAAACAAAGAAACAUAGCAGCUGUCAAAAGUUCACCCAAAAAAGGGAAAAUCAACAUUUUCAAACAUAUAUUUGACCUCAACCAUAACAAUAUGACCACCAAAUCCCAUUUAAAUGAAAAAAUUGUGAACUACCAUGACUAAGAACAUAGCAGAUCUAAGGCAUGAUGCUCUAGGGCAGCUCUUUAGUUGAAACCAAAGUAGGGAGGAAUACCAGAAUAAAUACAGCAGCUUAUUGAGAUCCACAGGCAACAACAAAACCAAUAUAGAACAAGCGAAAAAAGAAAAUAAGUCCUGGAACUAUUAAACUCCCAAAUAAAGUUAUCUGCAUUGUCUUUAGCAUCUUACAGGGAGCAUCUUUUGUAAAUCUUUCAGAAGAAUUAUUGUUCAAGGUUGUGUUUGUUUUUCCCAGAAGCAUCAAAUAAAGUUUAAAGUUCUUAAAAUGUAAUGACAACAAUGCUAGGAAAGAUGAUGCAAAAAUCAGGAAGGUGGAAAGCAAAUGUUCACACAGAAAGAGUUUAAUCUGAGUUUUGAAUAAGUACCGAAGCUGCAGCCCUGGUAGUCAUGGUGCGCUCAACAGCAACUGGGGCAAGAGUAGGCUCCAUAGAAGAUGAAUGUGUAAGACAUGGCUGUACAUCAAAAACUGCCCCUCCUUUCUGAAGCACAUGUAAGGUGGACGAAACAUUAAACUGUGCCCCAGCAAAUAAAACUUGCCUGCUCUCUCAGCCCAUAGAAUAAACCAAUGAAAUAUAGAUCUUACCAAGUCAUUUAUUGUUAGCAAGCAAUUAACAACCACAAAGUUGACAACUAAAAUUGCUAGAGAAUGACAGGGACAAAAGAUUCAUACAAUGCAACUUCUAAAGUUGAGAUAACAUAGUAGUAAGUGUUGCAGAUAAAGAAAGGAAAGCAUAGGAGAAAUGAAAAAAUGAAGAAUGUAAGAACUCGAACCUUCACGACACAACAACGCUCAACACGGUAACUGCAGCCAAUGGCAGCUCCCCAAGAACGCGAUCUAACAUUGUUUCUCAGCAUUGAAAGAUAGCCUUUAACAUAAUUCAGUUGCGAAUUAGACAUAUAUCGACUGAUGUAUAUAUAAACUAAUAUGAUUGCAAAUAUUAUAUAUAUAACGUCAACCACUAGGAUCGCAAAUUGUGACUGUUGAGUACUCUAUAACAUGACAUAAAUUAGCAAUAAGUUUUUUCAAGACAGUAAGCACUCAUAUGAUGCAAAUUUUAAUCUAAACUAGCUUUGCAAGCACUCAACACCAGAAACAGUAGAUAUCAAGUUUCAUGCUGACUUACAGUCUUGUGGAGGUAAUACUCUGAUAGUGACACGUAACUCCUGAAUUGUAGCUUCAAGGGGUGAUGCAGUCGGACGACAAUAGCCAGUGUGCAUAAGAACUAGAGAGAAAGGAGCAUAUCAUGCAAUUCAUAAUUCCCAGAAUGGUCAUCAGAAUAUCAAAACACAAAUAAAAUACAAAACCACUUACCAGCAACAAGAUCCGAAUCAUCAGUAUAUAUGUCUGUCCCCCACAGCUGGCCACCUCUUACCUACGCAUAUGUAGUGCCAAGAAGAUUAAAUGAGUGUCCAAUUUGAUGCAAGCAAGUAGUGAUCACAAAAAAUCAGACAGGAGAGAUGGCGAUCUCACAAAGAAAGUGAAAUUAGAUUAAUCUGACAGGAGAGAUGGCGAUCUCACAAAGAAAGUGAAAUUAGAUUAAUCUGAUUGAUGAAAAGAAAAUAAGAGUAAAAUCAAUUAAUUCACAUUUAUUUGUAUACAUUCCGAUAUGUUACACACUUUCCCUAAAGGUGACUUAAUUCUUACAGUUCAUGAUAUUAAUACCCAAUUUAUCUUUUUUCAUUCUUUGAGAUCUCCUACUAUCAAAUUGACAUGAAUAUUAUCAUUUUUGGUUUCAUAACAUUUUUCAUACAAUAAUGGAAACCAUGUUAGUUAAGGGCACUUCUUAUCAUGUCCAGAAGUCAAUCUCCAACAUUAUAGUCAGAAUGCUGCCAGCGAAGUGGUUCCAAGGAGCAAAAGCAAUCCUAUUCAGUCCAAUGGCUAUCGAAACUCCAUGCUGCAUAAAGUCUACAAAGUUCAACCAAUUAAGAGCUUAACCUAACCAGAAGGUUCUUCCAAGGGAACCAAAUGUGUUCCCUGAUUCUUUUUGAUAUGUUCAAAGGAGCUUCCAGUAUCACAAGCUCAGAAAAAAAGUAGAUCUUGUGAAGGCACUUAAAAUACUUGAUAUAACUCAGUGACAGAAAAGUGCCAUACCAAUACUGUGAUACCUAGUUUAAAAUAUCACCAGCAACAAGUACCUUACACUCUAGGCAAUCAAUUUGAUAACAUAAUGUCUCGUAAAGUGGUGAAAAAAAAUAAAACAAAGCAAAACAAAACAAAAGCAAACAUCCUGGAGCUGAACAAAGGUCCUUGCUGGUGAUUUGUACAAAUAAAUUGUCCAGUUAGCAGGAACAAAAAAAAAAAAAAAGAGAGAGAGGGAGAGCGACGGAUACAGAGAAGAUUCGAUGGCUUUAGAACCAAGCAAAGGGCAGAAAUGCUGCCAGAGAAGAUCACCAGAAUUCAUAACUAAGGGGGUGCUUGGUUCAUGUUUUGGAAUUGGUAUUGGAGAUGGAAUGAUAUACAAAAAAUUAGUAUGGGUUUGAACCCCUGGUAUUAUUCCAUGGACUAGUGCUUGGUAUAAAUAUAGUUGGAAUGGUAUCAAAAUUAAUUUUUUAUUUUCUAAUUAUUGUUCUUGGAUUGAUAAUCACGCCCACCAUCAAAUCACUACCAAUCCAAAUCUUUUUUGUUUUUUGUUCAACAAUUAUCAACAAAAACUCAUGACUAAUCAAUAAAAGAUUUGAACGAUUUGAGGAGAACGAUUGCAAUGAGGAGGACGAUUUGAUGGCAAGGGAGGAGAAGAAAGGGUCUACUGGGGUGAGGGGGGAGUGACCGGCCGUGGGAGAAGAAGAGAGAUUUUGUCAGAUGCUAUGGAAAAGGAAAAAAAUCGGUGACCUCCAACUGGUCUUGGUCCCACCCACUAAGGCUGGACUUGAAGACAUCAAUGGGUCCUUUGCCAAGCUUGUAGAGGUGGACCUUGACCUCGGGCACCUUCAUUCUAACCGAACGGAUCUUACGGGGAGAAUUCAGAUAAUAACGGUGAUGACUCGUCGGCGUUUGCUGGUGCUGCUUCCUCUUCGAUUUCUUCCAUUUGAAUCUAUUUUUCUGCCGGCAAGCCCAUGUGGGUGUUGUCAAAUGCUGAUAAAGAGGGAAAAAUAAGAAAAAAGGGAGGAGUUGCCAGAUGCCAUGGGGGAGAGAGAGGUGUUGAAGGCAGCGAGGAAGGGGAGGUUCGAUGGUGGAAGUCUGGGAGAGGGAGAAAGAAAGUAUUUUAACAAAAUAUUUUGUCUUUUAUUUAUUCACUGUUGGAAAUGAGUUGAGGGUUUUGAGUGAUUCCUUCCAAUAUAGUCAGGAAUCAUAAAUUGGACAUAAUUCCAAUAUUUCAAUUGCCAUUCCAGUGUACCAAGCACUAAGUAUUGGAAUUGUCAUCAUUCCACGUGACAACAUGGAUAUUUUUGGAAAAAUGCAUUUUGUAAAGUAAACUACAAUUGCAACAACUUUUGCUCCAAGAUGCCAGCUAUUCCUCAUGGUGCUAUUUAUGAAACCCAACUAACAAUAGAUCUCUUCUAAUUAAAAGUUUAACCUAGCCAAUCGUAAACAUGUGUUAUCCAGUCUUUCAUUUUUUGUCCACAGAAAAUUUUGGCCAAAUGAAGAAAUACAUUUUCAUCAUCUGUUUUAGUUCCUCAACUACAGCCAUUCAUUUUGGAGCAUACACCUCAAACUUGGAUUAUAACACCUACUUGACCCAAAAGCAGGGUGGAAAACAACUCAAAGAAUCACCUGGCGGUUUGCUGCAGAAACAUGCUCAGCUGGUAUCCGAAUAUCUAGAGUAGGACCAUUUGAAGAACUUUCAGACAUCUUAUCUGCUUGAGAUGCUUCAUAUUCUUUCCAUACUUUAGUUAGCUCUUGCAUGGAUUCACCAACUUUAUAAACAAUGGUGGACACAUCAGGUUUACCU
rnacentral:lncRNA from 1 species